GAAAUGCCCAGGGCUGUCGCUGACCUUCACAGGUCGUGCACGCCCAAAUGUGCUCUCUUAUGUCCAUCUCACCCCUUUGUGCAUCACCGCGUGUGCCCCCCCUAUUGGGCUUGUUCCAAAGGGGGCGGUUCACGUUUUAACACAGACACCAAUUUUUAAGAGCAUGUGUAGAAUGUCUUACUUUUUGCGAUUAUGCGCAAUCAAUACAACUUUCAACAACGGAUCUCUUGGCUCUCGCAUCGAUGAAGAACGCAGCGAAAUGCGAUACGUAAUGUGAAUUGCAGAAUUCAGUGAAUCAUCGAAUCUUUGAACGCACCUUGCGCCCCUUGGUAUUCCGAGGGGCACACCCGUUUGAGUGUCGUGAACACCCUCAACCUUCUUGGUUUCUUGACCAGGAAGGCUUGGACUUUGGAGGUUUUCCUUGCUGGCCUUCCUUUGAAGCCAGCUCCUCCUAAAUGAAUUAGUGGGGCUCGCUUUGCCGAUCCUUGACGUGAUAAGUAUGCUUCUACGUCUUGGGUUUUGAACGAACCCGCUUCGAACGGUCUUUGAACAAAGACAACGUUCGAGUUGCAUUGCGACUCGAGCACAGCGACCUUGACCUCAAAUCGGGUGAGACUACCCGCUGAACUUAAGCAUAUCAU
rnacentral:rRNA from 1 species